ensembl:lncRNA
GCAGAAUCACCAUGUGAGCCGGGGAAGACAGGACGCUUCUUCUGGUGUCUGAUAAGCACCAAGACUCCUGCUUUGGUCUGAAGGGCACCAUCCUGGCAUACAACUGGAGCAUUCCAUUCAAUUCUAACAAGAGCCAUAAGGCUGGAUAUUCAUGGCUGGCCAGAGAUCUGACAUCUCAGAGACCUUGUUAACUGAUCGACCCAAGACAACCGUUUCGUCCAGUGAAUCAGACUCUUUAGCCUCCUAGUGUUAACAUAGAUGGUAUCACAUAAUCCUUGUGCACCUGGAGUAUGCUGGCCAGUUAAUGUCCCCAGUCUUACUUCUACAUGUUCCAGGGGACCACAGAUUGGGAAUUGAAGGGUUCCAUGCAGUCACUCUGCAGAGCUGCCACAAGACCUUGGUCAGACCUUGCCAUUGGACCUUCCUAGCACACCUUUAAGCAACUAGUCCCAACAAUGUAGUUUCCAUCUUACUGUCAUCUCUCUAUGGAGAUGAGCCAAUCAGAACAUGUAUGUCUAGGACCGCCAGUUUGCCUAGAUGUCAAUUAAUGACAGACCUUUGUAAAUACCAUGAAGUGGACAGUUUGUUGAGGAAGAUCUGUUGUCUGACAAGGGUCUACUUGUUGGUUUGUAGUGUCAUCUUACCUGUACAGUUGAUGAAAACACAAACAGGCUCUCCGGGUCUCUUUUAUUACACUAUUCCCAACCUCGAGCACUAUCACAUUAGGGUUCUAUCCCAAUCCUACCCAUGAAUCUGGGUAGGAUAUCAACACAUGUUCUUGGAAUCCCCUGUGGUCUCCUAAAACUCAAAUGCUUCUUAUGUACAACGUGCAUCCAUUACAUUUCAACAGCCCUAACUCACUUCAACCCUAAUGCUGAAUCCAGCUUCUUGUCCAUCUAUCCCCUCAACGAGACGUGAAUAACACAAGAGGCACAAUUCAUGUAACACACAAUUUACCUUCAGCGUAUGAAAUGAGACAAGUUAUGUGACAGCAAGCACAGGAUUAAUGUUCCCAUCCAAAGAGGAGAAAAGGCAAGAAAAACAGGGAUGACUAGUUCUAAGCAAGGCCCCAACCGAGUAAGGUAAGCCCCGUGAGACUGUAAAGCCAGAGAAUAAUCCUCUUGGUUCAACGUCCUGCCUUCUAGGCCUAUUAGCACAACACUCUAUAAUUUGACUGGUUCUUGCUUACAGCACAGCUUUCUGCAGAAGGCUACCAUUGUGGGUUUUCAGUCAGAUAAAGGUUCUAGGUUCUAUAGUCCAAGUGUCCAUUCUGUCCCUGAAUUACUAUACCCCCACAAAGGGACUCAAAUCCAGAAACUGUCUCUAUCAUAGGCAGGGCCUUGGUUGGCGGAUAUUGUCAGUCUAAGAUGCUGCAUUUGAAAAACAAAAAACGAGAUAAGAAGGAAAUUUGUCCUUGCAGGACCACUGGACCAUUGUAUUGUUCGGUGGAGUUGAGUACAAGAACCUUAUAUGUCUUUAAAUUAGAAGUAGUUCUUUAUGAGAAUAUUUUAGUAAUAAUGUACUCUUCCUGAUACUUAAGGGGUACAUGUCUUUGCCUUUUCACAUGCCUUUGCAUAAACUACAGUUCUGGGCGAUUCUACACAAAAUAGGAAAUAGAUACACAGUUAAUUCCCCAUCUCCUCAUCGUGCCUCCAUUCUGUAUGUACAUGCAGGGAUGUUUCUGCAUGCAUGCAAAUGUUUGUGUGCAGGUGUGUACCCCAAUGCAUGAUCACAUGGAGGCCAGAAGUCUACAUUGGAUUUGUUUUUAUACUGUUCUCCACCUUAUCUUCCAAACCAAAUUUGUUAUUAAGUUUUAACAGUAUCACACUUGUUUAAAGUGCACUGUGAUCACACUCACUGUCCACUGUCCUCUCAAACCCCUGCCCUUCCUCUGAUCCACUUUCUCCCCCCCACGGAUCCCCCUUCCUGUGUCUGACUCAUAGCAAUGAAGGAGCUGAGGCACGUGUGUUUGGGGGAGGAGCCUAACGGAGGGAUAGCAGAACACACCCACUAUGAAAGCACAAGGAGGGGAUCAUGGGGAAGGAGAUGCUAAAUGACAGAUGGACAUAAAGAGUAGGGGAAGCAUAAGGAUAUGGAAGGGAGUCACCCGAAGUCAGAGACAGAUGAACAACGCCAUAGAGAAACAACUUUAUAAACUAACCCUUCCUGUGUGAGACGGACUCUCAAAGCAGUUUUAAUUCGCAUUUCUAUGGUGGCCAAGGAUGUUGAGCACUUAAAAAAAUGUUCAGCCACUGUUUUUACUUCUUCCGUUGAGAACACUGUUCAGUACUAUAGACUCUCCUUUUGUUGAAGUAUUUGUUGUUAUGAUGUUUGGAUUUGGAGUUGUUUUUAUAUCUUAUAUACCAAUUCUCUGUCAGAAAUACAGCUAACAAAGAUUUUCCUUUGUUCUGUAGAUGGCCUCAUCACUCAGUUGACCCUUUCCUUUGCUAUACAAACCCCUUUUAAUUCUACAAUGCACCAUUUUAUCCAUUGUUGGUCAUAUUUCCUGAGCAAGCAGAAUUCCAUUCCAAAAGUCCUUACCUCUUCCUAUGUCUUGUGGUGUACAUUCUCCUUUGGGUUUCAGAACCAAGAUCUUAAAAUCCACAUGGAGACAAAAAAGAUCCCAAAUGGAAAAAGCAGUCCUGAGUAAGAGGACCAUUGCAGGAGUGAGGCAUACAUGUCAUACAAAUCACACUACAGAGACACAGUCAUAAAAUCAGCAUGGCACAGGACAAAAUCAGACUCCGAGAUCAAUGAAAUAGAACAGAAGACACAGAUAUGAGUCUAGAUAAUUACAGACAGACACCUGUGGGGGGGUUGUCUUCCUUUCUGUUUUUAAAAGAUGCCAAAAAUACACAUUGGAGAAAGAACAUUAUCUUCAAUAAAUGACACUGGGAAAGUCAGGUAGCUACCUGCAGAAGAAUGAACUAAUCAACAGCUCUCACACUCCACAAAACUUAGCUCUGUGAAAUAGCUUCGAAUCUGCUAUAGUAGCCUAGCAUUGUUCUUUUCACUAAGGAUAGCAUUGUGUAUCCCAGUCUUUUGUAUUCCGUAAUAUGAAUUUUAGGAUUUUUUUUCUAUUUCUGUGAAGAUGUCAUGAGAAUUUUGAUUAAGAUUGCAUUGGAUCUUUAAAUUACACUUUGUGGUCUGGUCAUUUUCAUGAUAUUAAUUCUUUAACCCGUGGACAUGUUUCUAUCUCCUAGUGUCUUCCUCAAUUGCUUUCUUCAGAGUUUUGAAAUCUUCAUUGUAGAAUAUUUCUCUUCCUUUGUUGGAUUUAUUGUGAUACAUACUAUAUAUGCACUAUUGUGAAUGCCAUUGUUUAUCCAAUUUAUUUCUCAGUGUGUUAGGCUACCAGCAUUUACAUGUUAAUUUUGUGACCUGUCAGUUGUAGGAGUUGUCUGUCUACCUUAGUUCUUGAGACAGGAUCUUUCACUGAG